UGACACGGCUGGACAAAGAAGGAGUG
rnacentral:piRNA from 1 species